rnacentral:rRNA from 1 species
AAACCAGCCCCCUGAGUGGUAAGGACGAUUAUUUGGCCUAAAGCGUUCGUAGCCGGCUUAUCAAGUCUUUUGUUAAAUCCAACGAUUCAAUCGUUGGGCCGCAAAAGAUACUGUUAUGCUAGAGGACGGGAGAGGUCGACGGUAUUCCAGGGGUAGGGGUGAAAUCCUAUAAUCCUUGGAGGACCACCAGUGGCGAAGGCGGUCGACUAGAACGUGCCUGACGGUGAGGGACGAAAGCUGGGGGAGCGAACCGGAUUAGAUACCCGAGUAGUCC